rnacentral:rRNA from 1 species
GUAGGUGGCAAGCGUUGUCCGGAAUUAUUGGGGCGUAAAGCGCGCGCAGGCGGUUCUUUAAGUCUGAUGUGAAAGCCCACGGGCUCAACCGUGGAGGGUCAUUGGAAACUGGAGAACUUGAGUACAGAAGAGGAAAGCGGAAUUCCACGUGUAGCGGUGAAAUGCGUAGAGAUGUGGAGGAACACCAGUGGCGAAGGCGGCUUUCUGGUCUGUAACUGACGCUGAGGCGCGAAAGCGUGGGGAGCAAACAGGAUUAGAUACCCUGGUAGUCCACGCCGUAAGCGAUGAGUGCUAAGUGUUAGGGGGUUUCCGCCCCUUAGUGCUGCAGCUAACGCAUUAAGCACUCCGCCUGGGGAGUACGGCCGCAAAGGCUG